rnacentral:rRNA from 1 species
AGAGUUUGAUCAUGGCUCAGAACGUACGCUGGCGGCACGCCUAACACAUGCAAGUCGAACGAAGUAGCAAUACUUAGUGGCAGACGGGUGAGUAACAUGUGGGUAUCUACCCUUUGGCCUGGAAUAACACGAGGAAACUUGUGCUAAUACCGGAUAAGUCUUUACGGAGAAAGCUUUAUGCACCAUUGGAUGAGCCCGCACUUGAUUAGUUUGUUGGUAGGGUAAUGGCCUACCAAGACUAUGAUCAAUAGCUGAUUUGAGAGGAUGAUCAGCCACAUUGGGACUGAGACACGGCCCAAACUCCUACGGGAGGCAGCAGUGGGGAAUCUUGCACAAUGGAGGAAACUCUGAUGCAGCGAUGCCGCGUGAGUGAAGAAGGCCUUUGGGUUGUAAAGCUCUUUCGUCGGGGAAGAAAAUGACUGUACCCGAAUAAGAAGGUCCGGCUAACUUCGUGCCAGCAGCCGCGGUAAUACGAAGGGACCUAGCGUAGUUCGGAAUUACUGGGCUUAAAGAGUUCGUAGGUGGUUGAAAAAGUUGGUGGUGAAAUCCCAGAGCUUAACUCUGGAACUGCCAUCAAAACUUUUCAGCUAGAGUAUGAUAGAGGAAAGCAGAAUUUCUAGUGUAGAGGUGAAAUUCGUAGAUAUUAGAAAGAAUACCAAUUGCGAAGGCAGCUUUCUGGAUCAUUACUGACACUGAGGAACGAAAGCAUGGGUAGCGAAGAGGAUUAGAUACCCUCGUAGUCCAUGCCGUAAACGAUGUGUGUUAGACGUUGGAAAUUUAUUUUCAGUGUCGCAGGGAAACCGAUAAACACACCGCCUGGGGAGUACGACCGCAAGGUUAAAACUCAAAUGAAUUGACGGGGACCCGCACAAGUAGUGGAGCAUGUGGUUUAAUUCGAAGAUACGCGCAGAACCUUACCAACACUUGACAUGUUCGUCGCGACUCUAAGAGAUUAGAGUUUUCGGUUCGGCCGGACGAAACACAGGUGCUGCAUGGCUGUCGUCAGCUCGUGUCGUGAGAUGUUGGGUUAAGUCCC